rnacentral:rRNA from 1 species
AUACGGAGGGUGCAAGCGUUAAUCGGAAUUACUGGGCGUAAAGCGCGCGUAGGCGGUUAUUUAAGUCAGAUGUGAAAUCCCUGGGCUCAACCUAGGAACUGCAUCUGAUACUGGGUAACUAGAGUUUUGGAGAGGUAAGUGGAAUUUCCGGUGUAGCGGUGAAAUGCAUAGAGAUCGGAAGGAACACCAGUGGCGAAGGCGACUUACUGGCCAAAAACUGACGCUGAGGUGCGAAAGCGUGGGUAGCAAACAGGAUUAGAAACCCUUGUAGUCC